CAGUCGCCGCGGUAAAACGAAGGGUGCAAGCGUUACUCGGAAUUACUGGGCGUAAAGCGUGUGUAGGUGGUUGUUUAAGUCUGUCGUGAAAGCCCUGGGCUCAACCUGGGAAUUGCGAUGGAUACUGGGCGACUAGAGUGCGGUAGAGGAUAGUGGAAUUUCCGGUGUAGCAGUGAAAUGCGUAGAGAUCGGAGGGAACAUCUGUGGCGAAGGCGACUAUCUGGGCCAACACUGACACUGAGACACGAAAGCGUGGGGAGCAAACAGGAUUAGAUACCCCCGUAGUCCCUGUCUCUUAUCA
rnacentral:rRNA from 1 species